rnacentral:rRNA from 1 species
UACGAAGGGGGCUAGCGUUGUUCGGAAUUACUGGGCGUAAAGCGUGUGUAGGCGGUCUCAUAAGUCGGAUGUGAAAGCCCCGGGCUCAACCCGGGAAGUGCAUUCGAAACUGCGAGGCUAGAGUAUCGGAGAGGUUGGUGGAAUUCUCGGUGUAGAGGUGAAAUUCGUAGAUAUCGAGAGGAACACCGGUGGCGAAGGCGGCCAACUGGACGAAUACUGACGCUGAGACACGAAAGCGUGGGGAGCAAACAGG